AAUAGAUACCCGGGUAGUCCACGCCGUAAACGACUGAGUGCUAAGUGUUAGAGGGUUUCCGCCCUUUAGUGCUGCAGCUAACGCAUUAAGCACUCCGCCUGGGGAGUACGGUCGCAAGACUGAAACUCAAAGGAAUUGACGGGGGCCCGCACAAGCGGUGGAGCAUGUGGUUUAAUUCGAAGCAACGCGAAGAACCUUACCAGGUCUUGACAUCCUCUGACAACUCUAGAGAUAGAGCGUUCCCCUUCGGGGGACAGAGUGACAGGUGGUGCAUGGUUGUCGUCAGCUCGUGUCGUGAGAUGUUGGGUUAAGUCCCGCAACGAGCGCAACCCUUGAUCUUAGUUGCCAGCAUUUAGUUGGGCACUCUAAGGCGACUGCCGGUGACAAACCGGAGGAAGGUGGGGAUGACGUCAAAUCAUCAUGCCCCUUAUGACCUGGGCUACACACGUGCUACAAUGGAUGGUACAAAGGGCUGCAAGACCGCGAGGUCAAGCCAAUCCCAUAAAACCAUUCUCAGUUCGGAUUGUAGG
rnacentral:rRNA from 1 species